AUUGAACGCUGGCGGUAGGCCUAACACAUGCAAGUCGAGCGGAGCGGCGGACGGGUGAGUAAUUCCUAGGAGUCUGCCUGGUCGUGGGGGAUAACGUCCGGAAACGGGCGCUAAUCCCUCAUACUCUCAGAUGACCCUAGGUCGGAUUAGCUCGUUGGUGGGGUAAAGGCCUACCAAGGCGACGAUCCGAAACUGGGCUGAGAGGAUGAUCAGUCACACUGGAACUGAGACACGGUCCAGACUCCUACGGGAGGCAGAAGUGGGGAAUAUUGGACAAUGGGCGAAAGCCUGAUCCAGCCAUGCCGCGUGUGUGAAGAAGGUCUUCGGAUUGUAAAGCACUUUAAGUUGGGAGGCGUUACCAACAGAAUAAGCACCGGCUAACUUCGUGCCAGCAGCCGCGGUAAUUC
rnacentral:rRNA from 1 species